GCCUAUCUAGCUCAGUCAGUAGAGCAUGAGACUCUUAAUCUCAGGGUCUUGGGUUUGUGCCUCACGUUGGGUG
rnacentral:tRNA from 1 species